GCACUUACCUGGACGGGGUCUUUGGGCGAUCAAGAAGGUCCAUGGCCUAGGUUGCGGACCUCCAUUGCACCAUGCGGAGGGGCUUCUGCCUAAGGUCGGCCCAAGUUGGUUGAACCUACGUCAUAAUUUGUGUCAGUGGGGGCAUGCGUUCGCGCAGCCCCUAA